rnacentral:pre_miRNA from 1 species
AAAACACACAGUCGUGUCUGGAAAAGCGAUUCUUUAAAAUCCCCGUCUGUGUGUUUCAGG